rnacentral:rRNA from 1 species
UGGGGAAUAUUGGACAAUGGGCGCAAGCCUGAUCCAGCCAUGCCGCGUGAGUGAUGAAGGCCCUAGGGUUGUAAAGCUCUUUCACCGGUGAAGAUAAUGACGGUAACCGGAGAAGAAGCCCCGGCUAACUUCGUGCCAGCAGCCGCGGUAAUACGAAGGGGGCUAGCGUUGUUCGGAUUUACUGGGCGUAAAGCGCACGUAGGCGGACUUUUAAGUCAGGGGUGAAAUCCCGGGGCUCAACCCCGGAACUGCCUUUGAUACUGGAAGUCUUGAGUAUGGUAGAGGUGAGUGGAAUUCCGAGUGUAGAGGUGAAAUUCGUAGAUAUUCGGAGGAACACCAGUGGCGAAGGCGGCUAACUGGACCAUUACUGACGCUGAGGUGCGAAAGCGUGGGGAGCAAACAGG